AUGGUGUUCAGAGGUGGGCAGGGAGCGGUGGGUGGAUGGAGGAAGCAGGAAGGGUCAAGAAUGAAUUCCUUCCUGCUUCCAAAAAGCUGCUGGCUUCCAUCCAAGGAUGAUGCAGAGAUCAGAUCUGUCUUAAGCCACUUCAAGAGAUUGAUGGGUUUGGGGGGGGGGAAACUCUCUCGAGGGAUAAAUGGAGGGUUUUAUAAAAUUUAUAAGCUCAAAGCGGUUUACUGCUGCUCUCCCCCUGAUGACUCUCUUCUGUUUCCACCUGUAUACACACACAGGGGGCCGUACUCCAUUCUGGGCGAUCAAGAACAGUUGGGGAGAGAACUGGGGAGAGAAGGGCUACUACUACCUGUAUCGUGGCAGCCAUGCCUGUGGCAUGAACUCAAUGUGCAGUUCUGCAGUGAUAGAGUAAGCCUCUCGGGCCCCUUGACUGCCUCCGGUCCAAAUCAUCAACUUGCUGGCUUUCCACCCAGCACCAAGAUGAAGAUCGGAGCACCUUCCCUGUACAUUAUACUGACCCUGUUUACCCAUUUCCCUUUCCAAAUAGCCCUGGUUAGGCCUAGUGCAUAACUAAGAAGAUCUGGCCCCUGCUCCUGCCUGCUGCUAUGAACGGUAGAGACUGGAGGUAGCAUGUCCUAGGAUAGGACCCUUAACCUUGCUGAGAUCCUUCAACCAGGCCAGGAUUGGUGCUGGUGUGUGUUUAAAGGGUGCUUCCCUUUCCAGUAGGAGCAGAUUCCUUCCCCCGACUCUCAGUGAAGGGGUACUUGGUGCCUGGGCAGAUGCACAGAGGAUGGUGAAGGGGACUUGCUCUUCUGAAAUGGUUAGGUCAUCAGUUGCUCCUCGCUGUGAGCCUCCUCUUUUACCUUGGUCAAUCCUGAGCUGCUUUUUGGAAGGCAGACUGGGAAUUGGGGCCGGGGAGGAAGGGGCAGUGAUCUAACUACCAGCUCCCAUCCCAACUCCCUCUGCAAAAAGCAGAGCUCCUUACUGUUUUCUAACCAUAGGCCUCUUAAGUUUGGGCCAUAGCUCAGUAGAAGAGCAUCCACUUUGCACACAGAAGGUCCCAAACAGUUAUAGAAUCUCAUACAGUCCUGGGAUUGUAGAGUUGGAAGGGGACCCAAAGAGUCAUCUAGUCCAACCCUCCAAUCCUCAGGAGGCAGGGCUAGGGAAGGCCCCCCUCAAGUUGAAGAGCUGCUGUGCUAGAUGGACAGCAGACAGUCUGACUUGGUCUAAGGCCAGCUUCCUGUCUCCAUACAACUUGGGGAACCAGCUUGCAUUUAAGACAAGAUGUUCCAAGGAGCUUCACAACUCACUCAAGCCCGCUUAAAUAAGUGCAGGUGAAUUUUCCCUUCUUUGUGGAGAUGAGGGGAGCACAUUUAACACCCUUAUUUCCCAGUUAGUCAGGGGCUUCUUUCUUUUGCACUCUCCAAGUCUUCCCGCUCCCCUUAGGGAUUGUAGCACUGAUAAAUGCCCUCCCAAAAAAUGGGGUACCCUUGUUUCCGUUAGCUCAAGUCUUCCUCUGCUUCUGGAAGACUUGACGUGGUGGAGCCGCAGCCUUGCAGGACAGUCUUGCCUGUGGCUGGGCGGCUCCGCUAGCCUGUAGGAAAAGUAACCAUUCCAGUAUUGGUCAGCUUUUGCACUUAGAUGCCAUGAAAUCUUUCUCCCUGCACCCACUACAAAAAAAGAGGUCAAACCCAGCCCACAUUUUUUUUUAGAUUUAGCUGCUCUGUAUUAAUGUUUGCUGCUAGAAUGGAAAUAUUGGUGGAAGGUUUGAAGGCAAUGCUGAGAGAUGAUCCCUAGCUUGGUCAGUCCUAAGCACCACCCAAACCUUCUCCUCCAAGGAAUCCUACUUGAGCACUCCCCACCCCCCAGCCCCGUUGCACUGAGGGCUUUUGGGGAGUGGAAGGCAUAACUAGCACUUGCAAAAUGGUUGCUAUAGAAAGUGUUUUUCCUUUGAUUGUUGCUCUGAACACCCCACCCCCACCCUGAAAAAGCUGUUUCCCCUUCAGGGACUCUAAUCUCAGCCAGAAUGGCCUGAACGUGGCUGCAAAAAAAAGUGUUUCUGGAAGACGCAGCUGCUCAGGUGGCUGUGCCUUCUGUCUGUUACUUUAAAGACGCAGCCUUUGGUGUUUCUGUAAUUUCCACACUAAUAAAUACUGAUGGACUCUGAACUAAAGUGUCUGUGUGUUUCAGGGGUGAGGGCAGUGUGACGCCUGGAGUCUUGAGGGUGGGAGACUAGGUUUACCUUCUGCUGAGUACUCCUGAGUAGGUCUUGCCAGCAUCCUUCCAAGGCGGAUGAGAGACAAAGUUGGGUGGGAAGUCAUCAGAAGAGGCUUAUCUCAGAGGCAGUGCUUUUUUACUUUAAAAAAAAAUGUUUAAGAGUACUCUCAUUUUCCUACUCAUAUUGAAAUACUGCCUCUCAAUGAGGCCAAACUUAGAUUUACAGAAUGUUUAGGGGUUUGCGUAUCCCCAGAAAAAAAUACUGCUCAGAGGUGACACAAGGCGAAAUAGGAAGUGCUGCCCCACCACUGAACUGCUUGCCUCUGCCACGGGUGGAGAAGUGGUGCCAGCAUUGACACUGACUUCCAACAAGAUUCCGCUGGAAAUUUGCACCAAUGCCAGGGGCGGGAUGCUGCCUCAGGGGCUUCUGCCACCAGAGGCAGCUGCUUUACCCUGCCUCAAGUUGGGCCAGGUCUGCAUUCCACUGUUGAACAGCUCUUACCAUCAGAAAGUUCUUCCUUGCCAUUUGAAGUGAUUGGUUUGGGUCCUCCCCUCUGGAGCAGCAGAAAACAAAGCUUGCUCCAUCUUCAGAUAUUUGAAUCCAUCCUCCUGAAUAUUGAUCACUGCCGUCAUGGGCUUGGGAAGAUGGGCUGGCUUUGGAGAAACGUGAACCAACAUGGCUA
ensembl:lncRNA